UCUUGGAUGUAAAUAUAAUUGAGUUUACCGGAGUACUAUGAACGAAAAAGCUUAAAACUCAAAGGGCUUGGCGGUGUUUUAGACCUUUCAGGGGAACCUGUCUCAUAAUCGACAACCCCCGUUAAACCUGACCUUUUUUUGUAAACAGUCUGUAUACCGUCGUCGUCAGGUAACUUUUAAAAAACUAAGAGUUAGCAAAUUAAUAAAAUAAAUUUAAACGUCAGAUCAAGGUGCAACUAAUAAAAAGGUAGAGAUGGGUUACAAUUAUAUAAUUAUAUAUCGAAAAAUUACAUGAAUAACUAUUUAAAAGAAGGACUUGAAAGUAAAAUUGAUUAUAUAAACAAUUUGAAUAAGGCUCUGAAACGUGC
rnacentral:rRNA from 1 species